rnacentral:rRNA from 1 species
CCCUUAGAUGUUCUGGGCCGCACGCGCGCUACACUGAUGCAUUCAACAAGCCUAGCCUUGACCGAGAGGUCCGGGUAAUCUUUGAAACUGCAUCGUGAUGGGGCUAGAUUAUUGCAAUUAUUAAUCUUCAACGAGGAAUGCCUAGUAAGCGUGAUUCAUCAAAUCGCGUUGAUUACGUCCCUGCCCUUUGUACACACCGCCCGUCGCUACUACCGAUUGAACGUUUUAGUGAGGUAUUUGGACUGGACCUUCGGAGGUUCGCGCCUCCGUUGCUGUUCGGGAAGACUCCCAAACUUGAGCGUUUAGAGGAAGUAAAAGUCGUAACA